rnacentral:rRNA from 1 species
GACGUAGGGCGCGAGCGUUGUCCGGAUUUAUUGGGCGUAAAGAGCUCGUAGGCGGCUUGUCGCGUCGACUGUGAAAUCCCGCGGCUCAACUGCGGGUCUGCAGUCGAUACGGGCAGGCUAGAGUCCGGGAGAGGAGAGUGGAAUUCCUGGUGUAGCGGUGAAAUGCGCAGAUAUCAGGAAGAACACCAGUGGCGAAGGCGGCUCACUGGCCCGAUACUGACGCUGAGGUGCGAAAGCGUGGGGAGCAAACAGG